rnacentral:rRNA from 1 species
GAAAUUCGGAUUAAUACUCCAUAGUACCAUAAUGUAACAUUAUAUAGUGGUUAAAGAUUUAUUGGUAAAGGAUGGGCAUGCGUGACAUUAGUUAGUUGGUAAGGUAACGGCUUACCAAGACGAUGAUGUCUAGGGGUUCUGAGAGGAAGAUCCCCCACACUGGUACUGAGACACGGACCAGACUCCUACGGGAGGCAGCAGUAGGGAAUAUUGGUCAAUGGGCGAGAGCCUGAACCAGCCAUGCCGCGUGCAGGAAGACGGCCUUCUGGGUUGUAAACUGCUUUUAUAUAGGAACAAAGAGGCCAUGCGUGGCAAGUUGAGUGUACUAUAUGAAUAAGCACCGGCUAACUCCGUGCCAGCAGCCGCGGUAAUACGGAGGGUGCAAGCGUUGUCCGGAUUUAUUGGGUUUAAAGGGUGCGUAGGUGGCGUGUUCAGUCAGUGGUGAAAGCCUGCAGCUUAACUGUAGAGGUGCCAUUGAUACUGACAUGCUUGAGUAUGGACGAAGUAGGCGGAAUUUGUGGUGUA